AUACGGAGGGUGCAAGCGUUGCUCGGAAUUACUGGGCGUAAAGCGUACGUAGGCGGUUGGUUAAGUUAGAUGUGAAAGCCCCGGGCUUAACCUGGGAACUGCAUUUAAAACUGGCGAACUAGAGUUGAGUAGAGGGGAGUGGAAUUUCAGGUGUAGCGGUGAAAUGCGUAGAGAUCUGAAGGAACACCAGUGGCGAAGGCGACUCCCUGGACUCGAACUGACGCUGAGGUACGAAAGCGUGGGUAGCAAACGGGAUUAGAAACCCGAGUAGUCC
rnacentral:rRNA from 1 species